rnacentral:hammerhead_ribozyme from 1 species
GUGCAGAUGAUAAGUCCCAAAUAGGACGAAACACGCGUCCUGGAU